rnacentral:lncRNA from 1 species
CAUAAAAUACAUGAAUUUCAAUGCUCUAACGAAUUCAAAACUCCAGCCGCAAAUUGCAAAUGUUACCAGAGCAAGCACAACAAAGGUAUUUCGAGAACCCUUAAGCAGCGUAAAUAAAUAAACCUUAGUAACUGUAGAACGCAGCGGAAGUUUUCGUUCGUACCUUUUUGCGGAAGCGAUUCGAGCCGGAUCGGAUUGAUUGAUUUACGUGUCCUUGAAUCUUCCUUGAAAAUCUUCUAACUCUCCGAACUCGCGGUGGAUCGAACUACAAACGAGCACGAUCGCAAAUCCACCGUUCAAGUCCCUCUAGAAUAAUAGGUUAAUGGAGGAUGUGGUUUCUCGCUAUUAUUUUCUUAUUCUCUCUCUUUUUCCGUUCGUUUUGUAUAUCGUUUCAUGUGGGAUCGCCCGUCUAUUUAUAAGGAAUUCCAAAAUCCUAAUAGCGUUAGAGAUAAGGCCAAAUCGAUUAUUAUUUGUUAUCCUAAUAUGAUUAGAUUUAUCUCUAAUUAACUUUCCAAUUUGAAAGCGAGAUUAAUCCUAAUCCAAUUAGAUAACAUAACAUCCGUCGGAUCGAACCCGCUUAUGGGCGUACCCGAUUCN